rnacentral:rRNA from 1 species
CACGGAGGGUGCAAGCGUUAUCCGGAUUCACUGGGUUUAAAGGGUGCGUAGGUGGGCAGUUAAGUCAGUGGUGAAAUCUCCGGGCUUAACCCGGAAACUGCCAUUGAUACUAUCUGUCUUGAAUAUCGUGGAGGUAAGCGGAAUAUGUCAUGUAGCGGUGAAAUGCUUAGAUAUGACAUAGAACACCAAUUGCGAAGGCAGCUUACUACCCGAAUAUUGACACUGAGGCACGAAAGCGUGGGGAUCAAACAGG